GGAGCCGGCUGGACGGCCGCUGCCCGCUCUUUGGAGAUGGGUGGAGGAAAGUCCGGGCACCGCAGGGCAGGGCGCCAGGUAACGCCUGGGGGGCGCGAGCCCACGGAAAGUGCCACAGAAAAUAUACCGCCUAAGCCGCCGUUCGCGGCGGCCGGUAAGGGUGAAAUGGUGCGGUAAGAGCGCACCGCGCGGCCGGUAACGGCCGUGGCAGGGAAAACCCCGCCCGGUGCAAGACCAAAUAGGGAAGCCGCCGGCGGUUCGCCGCCGCAACACGUGGCCCGCGUGGCUUCCGGGUAGGUCGCUUGAGGCGCGCGGUGACGUGCGUCCCAGAUGAAUGGCCGUUCUCGACAGAACCCGGCUUACAGGCCGGCUCCAACU
rnacentral:RNase_P_RNA from 3 species